rnacentral:rRNA from 1 species
UACGUAGGGGGCAAGCGUUAUCCGGAUUUACUGGGUGUAAAGGGUGCGUAGGUGGUAUGGUAAGUUGGAUGUGAAAGCCCAAGGCUCAACCUUGGGAUUGCAUCUAAAACUGCCAAACUAGAGUGCAGGAGAGGAAAGUGGAAUUCCUAGUGUAGCGGUGAAAUGCGUAGAUAUUAGGAGGAACAUCAGUAGCGAAGGCGGCUUUCUGGACUGUAACUGACGCUGAGGCACGAAAGCGUGGGUAGCAAACAGG